UACAGAGGGGGCAAGCGUUGUUCGGAAUUACUGGGCGUAAAGGGCGCGUAGGCGGCCUGCUAAGUCGAACGUGAAAUCCCCGAGCUCAACUCGGGAACUGCGUCCGAUACUGGCAGGCUUGAAUCCGGGAGAGGGAUGCGGAAUUCCAGGUGUAGCGGUGAAAUGCGUAGAUAUCUGGAGGAACACCGGUGGCGAAGGCGGCAUCCUGGACCGGCAUUGACGCUGAGGCGCGAAAGCCAGGGAGCAAAGCGGG
rnacentral:rRNA from 1 species